UGUGGGAUCACAUCCCACAGCCGGGUGGUCCCUAAAUGAGCUGAUUCUCAUCAAAGCUGAGAAGCAUAGUCAGGUGUGGUGGCUCACGCCUGUAAUCCCAGCACAUUCGGAGGCCAAGGUGGACGGGCCACUUGAGGCCAGGAGUUCGAGGCCAGCCUGGCCAACAUGGAGAAAUCUUGUCUCUAAAAAAUAAAAGAAUAAAGAAGAAGCAGAACUUUGUAGAGUCCCUCCAGGAAGCAGUGCCACGAGGCCUUGGGGCUGCUUACUACAACUGAAGGAAGUAGAUGAAGUCUCACUAGGUUGCCCAGACUGAUCUUGAACCCCUGGACUCCAGCAAUCCACCUGCCUUGGCCUCCCAAAGUGCUUGGAUUAUGCGUGUGAGCCGUUGCACCUGCCCCAUACCUGAAUUCUUUAUUGAGUGGAAAAUAUGGCUGACCACAACGCCCAGAUUUUAUAGACAGUAGUUCCACUGCCUUUGGGAAUCCAGUUCUUUUUCCCAAUUUCAGGUAUUAAUAUCCUAGGGAAUUCUCUGAUGUGCUUUUGGGUUUACCGGCCUCCCAUGGACCAUUCAUGUGUAGGAGGCAUGAAGGCCAGGGCACGUGAAAGCAUGCCUGCCGCCCUGGACACUGUUCAGCAGGUCCCAGAAGGAGCCUAUGUUUACAGAGUAAGAGGAGAGGCUGACCAGCAAACAGAAGGGUCUGAUUCAUCCCCAAAUCACGAGACAAGCAAGGUGAGAGCAUUCUCCGCUGUUCCCCUUUGUUGCGUCUCUCUACCUCAUGCCUCUCCAGCUCCUGUUUGCCUUCAGGCCAUUCUCACAGGCAAUGCUGAGUGGAAUCAACUUCCAGACAUAAGGCAUAGAAGCCACACUACGUGUGGGUUGCUUGCAUUGAUAGAACAAUUUCCAGAAAGCUGCUGGCCAUCUCUUGUGUUAUAGAGAGAAAGAAAUCUCUUCAUCUCACGUAUAAGGCCAAAAUGGGAGUAUUAUUAAUGCAUCUUAAUGCUGACAAUGCCAUUUUCUGCCACCUACACUGACACUCAUAUUUGUUUUUGUGAUUUAUAACAGCAGUAUUGUUUAAUUAAAUGUUAAUUGCACCAGGACUGCAAGCGUAUAUUCUCUUUGAAAUUCAGGGAUAAUGCUGAAGUUCCCAUCAAUUAUUCUCUCAAACCCGCAUCUUCUUCUCUUUUCCCCAGGCUCAGCCAUUGGUUUCUGUUUGUUUUGUACCUUGUUGGACAGCUCUAUAAAAUUGCAUACAUGUAUUGGAGCCUAGAACCUGAGAGGUUUAAGUAUGUUGUGUGUGUC
rnacentral:lncRNA from 1 species